UAGCGUAGGGUGCGAGCGUUGUCCGGAAUUAUUGGGCGUAAAGGGCUCGUAGGCGGUUUGUCGCGUCGGGAGUGAAAUCCACUGGCUUAACUGGUGGCUUGCUUUCGAUACGGGCAGACUGGAGGUAUGCAGGGGAGAACGGAAUUCCUGGUGUAGCGGUGGAAUGCGCAGAUAUCAGGAGGAACACCAAUAGCGAAAGGCAGGCUCGCUGGGACGUUACUGACACUGAGGCGCGAAGCGUGGGGAGCGAACAGG
rnacentral:rRNA from 1 species